GACAGCGUGCCCGAGUGGUUAAGGGGGUAGACUCGAAAUCUACUGGGCUCCGCCCGCACAGGUUCAAAUCCUGUCGCUGUCG
rnacentral:tRNA from 1 species